GUAGGGCCUGAUCCAAAGCCCAUUAAGGUCAAUGGGUGUCUUUCCAUUGACAUAAAUGGGCUUGAGAUCAAGCCUCUGGGAC
rnacentral:pre_miRNA from 1 species